rnacentral:rRNA from 1 species
GAACUUAAGCAUAUCAGUAAGCGGAGGAAAAGAAACUAACAAGGAUUCCCCUAGUAGCGGCGAGUGAAGCGGGAAGAGCUCAAAUUUUAAAUCUCUACACUUUGUGUAGCGAAUUGUAGUCUAAAGACGGUGAUCGAGGCUGGCGCUCUGAAUAGGUCCCUUGGAAUAGGGCGCCAUAGAGGGUGAGAGCCCCGUUAUUCAGAGCAAAGGCUGAUAUGAGAGCCAGUCAACGAGUCGAGUUGUUUGGGAAUGCAGCUCAAAGCGGGUGGUAAAUCUCAUCUAAGGCUAAAUAUUGGCAAGAGACCGAUAGCGAACAAGUACCGUGAGGGAAAGAUGAAAAGCACCUUGAAAAGGGAGUUAAAUAGUGCGUGAAAUUGUUAAAAGGGAAACGAUAGAGGUCAGUGUUGGUGUAGCGUGCAAGGCGGUCAUUUCGGUGGCCGUUGCGCAUCUGCAUCGAGUCAAUAGUGCUGUGGGGUGCUGGACACGCUGCCGAGGAAGGUGGGGUUACUCUUCGGGGUAGCUCUUUAUAGACUCGGACGGCCGCAGCAGCCUGUAGUAGUUUUUGACGAAAUGGCCUUUAACGACCCGUCUUGAAACACGGACCAAGGAGUCUAACAAAUGUGCGAGCAUUCGAGUGGCAAACUCCGAGUGCGCAAGGAAACUAAAAGCCUGCGAGCAGCAAUGUGCAGCAGGGACCGGCAUUGGGAUAACUCUCAUUGACCGCGUAAGAGUAUAUUUGUUGGGACCCGAAA